rnacentral:tRNA from 2 species
GCGGGAGUAACUCAGUGGUAGAGUGCAACCUUGCCAAGGUUGAAGUCGCGGGUUCGAAUCCCGUUUCCCGCUCCA